rnacentral:rRNA from 1 species
GAUGAACGCUGGCGGCGUGCCUAAUACAUGCAAGUCGAGCGAAUGGAUUAAGAGCUUGCUCUUAUGAAGUCAGCGGCGGACGGGUGAGUAACACGUGGGUAACCUGCCCAUAAGACUGGGAUAACUCCGGGAAACCGGGGCUAAUACCGGAUAACAUUUUGAACCGCAUGGUUCGAAAUUGAAAGGCGGCUUCGGCUGUCACUUAUGGAUGGACCCGCGUCGCAUUCGCUAGUUGGUGAGGUAACGGCUCACCAAGGCAACGAUGCGUAGCCGACCUGAGAGGGUGAUCGGCCACACUGGGACUGAGACACGGCCCAGACUCCUACGGGAGGCAGCAGUAGGGAAUCUUCCGCAAUGGACGAAAGUCUGACGGAGCAACGCCGCGUGAGUGAUGAAGGCUUUCGGGUCGUAAAACUCUGUUGUUAGGGAAGAACAAGUGCUAGUUGAAUAAGCUGACACCUUGACGGUACCUAACCAGAAAGCCACGGCUAACUACGUGCCAGCCGCCGCGGUAA